CCGGCGAUGUCCGAAUGGGGAAACCCAGUGCAAUUCGUUGCACUAUCGUUAACUGAAUACAUAGGUUAACGAGGCGAACCGGGGGAACUGAAACAUCUAAGUACCCCGAGGAAAAGAAAUCAACCGAGAUUCCCCCAGUAGCGGCGAGCGAACGGGGAGCAGCCCAGAGUCUGAAUCAGCUUGUGUGUUAGUGGAACGGUCUGGAAAGUCCGACGGUACAGGGUGAUAGUCCCGUACACCAAAAUGCACAGGCUGUGAACUCGAAGAGUAGGGCGGGACACGUGGUAUCCUGUCUGAAUAUGGGGGGACCAUCCUCCAAGGCUAAAUACUCCUGACUGACCGAUAGUGAACCAGUACCGUGAGGGAAAGGCGAAAAGAACCCCGGCGAGGGGAGUGAAAAAGAACCUGAAACCGUGUACGUACAAGCAGUGGGAGCACCUUCGGGUGUGACUGCGUACCUUUUGUAUAAUGGGUCAGCGACUUAUAUUCUGUAGCAAGGUUAACCGUAUAGGGGAGCCGCAGGGAAACCGAGUCUUAACUGGGCGUUAAGUUGCAGGGUAUAGACCCGAAACCCGGUGAUCUAGCCAUGGGCAGGUUGAAGGUUGGGUAACACUAACUGGAGGACCGAACCGACUAAUGUUGAAAAAUUAGCGGAUGACUUGUGGCUGGGGGUGAAAGGCCAAUCAAACCGGGAGAUAGCUGGUUCUCCCCGAAAGCUAUUUAGGUAGCGCCUCGUGAAUUCAUCUUCGGGGGUAGAGCACUGUUUCGGCUAGGGGGUCAUCCCGACUUACCAACCCGAUGCAAACUACGAAUACCGAAGAAUGUUAUCACGGGAGACACACGGCGGGUGCUAACGUCCGUCGUGAAGAGGGAAACAACCCAGACCGCCAGCUAAGGUCCCAAAGUCAUGGUUAAGUGGGAAACGAUGUGGGAAGGCACAGACAGCCAGGAUGUUGGCUUAGAAGCAGCCAUCAUUUAAAGAAAGCGUAAUAGCUCACUGGUCGAGUCGGCCUGCGCGGAAGAUGUAACGGGGCUAAACCAUGCACCGAAGCUGCGGCAGCGACACUAUGUGUUGUUGGGUAGGGGAGCGUUCUGUAAGCCUGCGAAGGUGUGCUGUGAGGCAUGCUGGAGGUAUCAGAAGUGCGAAUGCUGACAUAAGUAACGAUAAAGCGGGUGAAAAGCCCGCUCGCCGGAAGACCAAGGGUUCCUGUCCAACGUUAAUCGGGGCAGGGUGAGUCGACCCCUAAGGCGAGGCCGAAAGGCGUAGUCGAUGGGAAACAGGUUAAUAUUCCUGUACUUGGUGUUACUGCGAAGGGGGGACGGAGAAGGCUAUGUUAGCCGGGCGACGGUUGUCCCGGUUUAAGCAUGUAGGCUGGUUGUCCAGGCAAAUCCGGAUAAUCAAGGCUGAGGUGUGAUGACGAGGCACUACGGUGCUGAAGUAACAAAUGCCCUGCUUCCAGGAAAAGCCUCUAAGCAUCAGGUAACAUCAAAUCGUACCCCAAACCGACACAGGUGGUCAGGUAGAGAAUACCAAGGCGCUUGAGAGAACUCGGGUGAAGGAACUAGGCAAAAUGGUGCCGUAACUUCGGGAGAAGGCACGCUGGUGUGUAGGUGAAGUCCCUGCGGAUGGAGCUGAGACCAGUCGAAGAUACCAGCUGGCUGCAACUGUUUAUUAAAAACACAGCACUGUGCAAACACGAAAGUGGACGUAUACGGUGUGACGCCUGCCCGGUGCCGGAAGGUUAAUUGAUGGGGUUAUCCGUAAGGAGAAGCUCUUGAUCGAAGCCCCGGUAAACGGCGGCCGUAACUAUAACGGUCCUAAGGUAGCGAAAUUCCUUGUCGGGUAAGUUCCGACCUGCACGAAUGGCGUAAUGAUGGCCAGGCUGUCUCCACCCGAGACUCAGUGAAAUUGAACUCGCUGUGAAGAUGCAGUGUACCCGCGGCAAGACGGAAAGACCCCGUGAACCUUUACUAUAGCUUGACACUGAACAUUGAGCCUUGAUGUGUAGGAUAGGUGGGAGGCUUUGAAGCGUGGACGCCAGUCUGCGUGGAGCCAACCUUGAAAUACCACCCUUUAAUGUUUGAUGUUCUAACGUUGGCCCCUGACCGGGGUUGCGGACAGUGUCUGGUGGGUAGUUUGACUGGGGCGGUCUCCUCCCAAAGCGUAACGGAGGAGCACGAAGGUUAGCUAAUCCUGGUCGGACAUCAGGAGGUUAGUGCAAUGGCAUAAGCUAGCUUGACUGCGAGCGUGACGGCGCGAGCAGGUGCGAAAGCAGGUCAUAGUGAUCCGGUGGUUCUGAAUGGAAGGGCCAUCGCUCAACGGAUAAAAGGUACUCCGGGGAUAACAGGCUGAUACCGCCCAAGAGUUCAUAUCGACGGCGGUGUUUGGCACCUCGAUGUCGGCUCAUCACAUCCUGGGGCUGAAGUAGGUCCCAAGGGUAUGGCUGUUCGCCAUUUAAAGUGGUACGCGAGCUGGGUUUAGAACGUCGUGAGACAGUUCGGUCCCUAUCUGCCGUGGGCGCUGGAGAAUUGAGGGGGGCUGCUCCUAGUACGAGAGGACCGGAGUGGACGCAUCACUGGUGUUCGGGUUGUCAUGCCAAUGGCACUGCCCGGUAGCUAAAUGCGGAAGAGAUAAGUGCUGAAAGCAUCUAAGCACGAAACUUGCCCCGAGAUGAGUUCUCCCUGAGACUUUAAGUCUCCUGAAGGAACGUU
rnacentral:rRNA from 1 species